GGACUUUCUGAAGAACUCUGCAGGAAGGGCUGCCAAUACAUUUAAACAGUGACACCUACUGUUCAUUUAAGGUGAACUUGAUCUAAUUAGGAGAAUCAAGAUUCAGAAGUCCAAAAAACCAAACACAAGCAGAGGACUUUGGUACAGAGCCACAGACUCUUUCCAGCAUCACCAUCACCAAAAGUCAUUGGAAAGAAGCUCCCUAUCUAAACAGCACUCGUUUUAUGAUGAGGGUGGAACUGAACCAGCUGGUACCAGAAUUAUCAUUGCCAUGGCUGGAUCGAUCUG